rnacentral:rRNA from 6 species
CCGAGGAAAAGAAAUCAACCGAGAUUCCCCCAGUAGCGGCGAGCGAACGGGGAGGAGCCCAGAGCCUGAAUCAGCAUGUGUGUUAGUGGAAGCGUCUGGAAAGGCGCGCGAUACAGGGUGACAGCCCCGUACACAAAAGCGCAUGUGCUGUGAGCUCGAUGAGUAGGGCGGGACACGUGGUAUCCUGUCUGAAUAUGGGGGGACCAUCCUCCAAGGCUAAAUACUCCUGACUGACCGAUAGUGAACCAGUACCGUGAGGGAAAGGCGAAAAGAACCCCGGCGAGGGGAGUGAAAAAGAACCUGAAACCGU